CGUCACACCAUGGGAGUGGGUUGCAAAAGAAGUAGGUAGCUUAACCUUCGGGAGGGCGCUUACCACUUUGUGAUUCAUGACUGGGGUGAAGUCGUAACAAGGUAACCGUAGGGGAACCUGCGGUUGGAUCACCUCCUUACCUUAAAGAAGC
rnacentral:rRNA from 5 species